UAGGCAUGCGAGUCGCGCGAGAAUGUAGCAAUACAGGACAGCGGCGAAAGGGAGAGGACAACAUGGGAAUCUGCCCUGGGGACGAGGAUAGCGUCGGGAAACUGACAGUAAUACUCGAUAAUGUUUGCGGACCAAAGGUGUGAUUCCGCCCCAGGAUGAGCCCGUGCCCCAUUAGCUUGUUGGCGGUGUAAUAGACCACCAAGGCGAUGAUGGGUAGCUGGUGUGAGAGCACGACCAGCCUCACUGGCACUGAGACACUGGCCAGACACCUACGGGUGGCUGCAGUCGAGAAUCUUUGGCAAUGGACGAAAGUCUGACCAAGCGACGCCGCGUGCGGGAUGAAGGCCUUCGGGUUGUAAACCGCUGUCGUAGGGAAUCAAAUGUAUGAGGGUUCUCCCUUGUAUUUGAGAGAUCCUAGGAGGAAGGAGAGGCUAAGCUCGUGCCAGCAGCCGCGGUAAGACGAGCUCUCCAAACGUUAUUCGGUAUCACUGGGCUUAAAGAGUUCGUAGGCGGCUUAAUAGGUGGGGUGUGAAAGCCCUCGGCUCAACCGAGGAACUGCGCCCCAAACCAUUGGGCUCGAGGGGUAUAGGGGUAGGCGGAACAGAUGGUGGAGCGGUGAAAUGCAUUGAUAUCAUCUGGAACACCGGUGGCGAAAGCGGCUUACUGGAUACUUUCUGACGCUGAGGAACGAAAGCUAGGGUAGCGAACGGGAUUAGAUACCCCGGUAGUCCUAGCCGUAAACGAUGAGCACUAGUCUGAGGACCUGUCACAGAUUCUCGGACGUAGCGAAAGUGUUAAGUGCUCCGCCUGGGGAGUAUGGUCGCAAGGCUGAAACUCAAAGGAAUUGACGGGGGCUCACACAAGCGGUGGAGGAUGUGGCUUAAUUCGAGGCUACGCGAAGAACCUUAUCCUAGUCUUGACAUGCUUAAGACCCGACUGAAAGGUUGGGGUGCCCGCAA
rnacentral:rRNA from 1 species